rnacentral:rRNA from 1 species
AAGUGCAGCAAUGUAUGCAGCCAAGGCACACUAAUAGACCGAGGGCUUGACCUU